GUGGCUUCCGGAGCUAACGCGUUAAAUCGACCGCCUGGGGAGUACGGCCGCAAGGUUAAAACUCAAAUGAAUUGACGGGGGCCCGCACAAGCGGUGGAGCAUGUGGUUUAAUUCGAUGCAACGCGAAGAACCUUACCUACUCUUGACAUCCAGAGAAUUUAGCAGAGAUGCUUUAGUGCCUUCGGGAACUCUGAGACAGGUGCUGCAUGGCUGUCGUCAGCUCGUGUUGUGAAAUGUUGGGUUAAGUCCCGCAACGAGCGCAACCCUUAUCCUUUGUUGCCAGCGAUUCGGUCGGGAACUCAAAGGAGACUGCCGGUGAUAAACCGGAGGAAGGUGGGGAUGACGUCAAGUCAUCAUGGCCCUUACGAGUAGGGCUACACACGUGCUACAAUGGCGUAUACAAAGAGAAGCGACCUCGCGAGAGCAAGCGGAACUCAUAAAGUACGUCGUAGUCCGGAUUGGAGUCUGCAACUCGACUCCAUGAAGUCGGAAUCGCUAGUAAUCGUAGAUCAGAAUGCUACGGUGAAUACGUUCCCGGGCCUUGUACACACCGCCCGUCACACCAUGGGAGUGGGUUGCAAAAGAAGUAGGUA
rnacentral:rRNA from 1 species